rnacentral:rRNA from 1 species
UUGAACGCUGGCGGCAGGCCUCACACAUGCAAGUCGAACGGUAACAGGAAACAGCUUGCUGUUUCGCUGACGAGUGGCGGACGGGUGAGUAAUGUCUGGGAAACUGCCUGAUGGAGGGGGAUAACUACUGGAAACGGUAGCUAAUACCGCAUAACGUCGCAAGACCAAAGAGGGGGACCUUCGGGCCUCUUGCCAUCGGAUGUGCCCAGAUGGGAUUAGCUAGUAGGUGGGGUAACGGCUCACCUAGGCGACGAUCCCUAGCUGGUCUGAGAGGAUGACCAGCCACACUGGAACUGAGACACGGUCCAGACUCCUACGGGAGGCAGCAGUGGGGAAUAUUGCACAAUGGGCGCAAGCCUGAUGCAGCCAUGCCGCGUGUAUGAAGAAGGCCUUCGGGUUGUAAAGUACUUUCAGCGGGGAGGAAGGGAGUAAAGUUAAUACCUUUACUUAUUGACGUUACCCGCAGAAGAAGCACCGGCUAACUCCGUG